rnacentral:rRNA from 1 species
GACGAACGCUGGCGGCGUGCUUAACACAUGCAAGUCGAACGGAAAGGCCCUGCUUUUGUGGGGUGCUCGAGUGGCGAACGGGUGAGUAACACGUGAGUAACCUGCCCUUGACUUUGGGAUAACUUCAGGAAACUGGGGCUAAUACCGGAUAGGAGCUCCUGCUGCAUGGUGGGGGUUGGAAAGUUUCGGCGGUUGGGGAUGGACUCGCGGCUUAUCAGCUUGUUGGUGGGGUAGUGGCUUACCAAGGCUUUGACGGGUAGCCGGCCUGAGAGGGUGACCGGCCACAUUGGGACUGAGAUACGGCCCAGACUCCUACGGGAGGCAGCAGUGGGGAAUAUUGCACAAUGGGCGGAAGCCUGAUGCAGCAACGCCGCGUGCGGGAUGACGGCCUUCGGGUUGUAAACCGCUUUCGCCUGUGACGAAGCGUGAGUGACGGUAAUGGGUAAAGAAGCACCGGCUAACUACGUGCCAGCAGCCGCGGUGAUACGUAGGGUGCGAGCGUUGUCCGGAUUUAUUGGGCGUAAAGGGCUCGUAGGUGGUUGAUCGCGUCGGAAGUGUAAUCUUGGGGCUUAACCCUGAGCGUGCUUUCGAUACGGGUUGACUUGAGGAAGGUAGGGGAGAAUGGAAUUCCUGGUGGAGCGGUGGAAUGCGCAGAUAUCAGGAGGAACACCAGUGGCGAAGGCGGUUCUCUGGGCCUUUCCUGACGCUGAGGAGCGAAAGCGUGGGGAGCGAACAGGCUUAGAUACCCUGGUAGUCCACGCUGUAAACGGUGGGUACUAGGUGUGGGGUCCAUUCCACGGGUUCCGUGCCGUAGCUAACGCUUUAAGUACCCCGCCUGGGGAGUACGGCCGCAAGGCUAAAACUCAAAGGAAUUGACGGGGCCCCGCACAAGCGGCGGAGCAUGCGGAUUAAUUCGAUGCAACGCGUAGAACCUUACCUGGGUUUGACAUGGAUCGGGAGUGCUCAGAGAUGGGUGUGCCUCUUUUGGGGUCGGUUCACAGGUGGUGCAUGGCUGUCGUCAGCUCGUGUCGUGAGAUGUUGGGUUAAGUCCCGCAACGAGCGCAACCCUUGUUCACUGUUGCCAGCACGUUAUGGUGGGGACUCAGUGGAGACCGCCGGGGUCAACUCGGAGGAAGGUGGGGAUGACGUCAAGUCAUCAUGCCCCUUAUGUCCAGGGCUUCACGCAUGCUACAAUGGCUGGUACAGAGAGUGGCGAGCCUGUGAGGGUGAGCGAAUCUCGGAAAGCCGGUCUCAGUUCGGAUUGGGGUCUGCAACUCGACCUCAUGAAGUCGGAGUCGCUAGUAAUCGCAGAUCAGCAACGCUGCGGUGAAUAGCGUUCCCGGGGC